AAAAUACCCCCUCCAUUUCAAAAUUAUUGUCUUGGAUUUGUCUAAAUAUGAAUAUAUCUAGUCACGUUUUAGUAUGUAGAUGCAUCCAUAUCUAGAAAAAUCUAAGACAAGAAUUUUAGAACGGAUGGAGUACAAU
rfam:Hordeum vulgare subsp. vulgare, WGS project CAJW01000000 data, contig: morex_contig_12424